GUACUCGCUUCGGCGGUAUACAUACUAAAAUAUGAACAAAGUAGAGGUGAUUAGCAUGGCUCUUGCGCAAGGAAGUCCAAAAAAAAAAAAAAAAAAAAAAAUGCUU